UGAGGAAUCUUGCACAAUGGGCGCAAGCCUGAUGCAGCGACGCCGCGUGGGCGAUGAAGGUCUUCGGAUCGUAAAGCCCUUUUCUGCGUGACGAGACAAGGACGGUAGCGCAGGAAGAAGCGUCGGCUAACUACGUGCCAGCAGCCGCGGUAAAACGUAGGACGCAAGCGUUAUCCGGAGUUACUGGGCGUAAAGGGCGUGUAGGCGGCUUCGCAAGUGGCUCGUGAAAGACUUCGGCUCAACCGGGGGUGGACGGGUCAGACUGCGGAGCUGGAGGAUGUCAGAAGGACACGGAAUUCCGGGUGUAGUGGUGAAAUGCGUAGAGAUCCGGAGGAACACCAGUGGCGCAGGCGGUGUCCUGGGGCGUACCUGACGCUGAGACGCGAAAGCAUGGGGAGCGAACGGG
rnacentral:rRNA from 1 species